GUCCUUUGGGGAAUGGCCAUAGCUCAGAGGUAGAGUGGUUGCUUUACACAUUGAAGGUCCUGGGUUCAGUCCCCAGCAUUCUAGAAAGGACU